GGGGCUGUAGCUCAGGUGGUUAGAGCGCACGCCUGAUAAGCGUGAGGUCGGAGGUUCAACUCCUCCCAGCCCCACCC
rnacentral:tRNA from 1 species